GGGUCUCUCUUGUUAGACCAGAUUUGAGCCUGAGAGCUCUCUGGCUAGCUAGAGAACCCAC
rfam:HIV-1 clone N32.1/ from Tanzania 5' long terminal repeat, complete sequence.